GCAUACUAGCGUUUUGCAGCGGGAGGUACUUCAUCUGAGGGGAGCCUUUGGUGCAGCAAGCCGAGGUGAAUCAAAAGGAGAAUUAGCAGUAAUUCGGCUACUUCUACUGGCGACGAUUGUUGCCUGUUUGAAUACUCAUUUCCUGAGAAAUUGUUUCGGUUUCUUAGUUGAUUUGCUCACUCGUUGAUUUAAGCGGUUUAUCCUCGCAUUUAAGACCUGAGUGCAAUAAGUGCUCGUAAUUUUUUUUUUUAAUUCUUUGAGAGCUUCUUGCGACUUCAACUGUGUGGCACCUACACAUGAGUGAGUGACACAAUCGGUCCAUGGACGUAAUCACCUGGACAAGUUUGGGAAGGCUGAAACAAAAGGUAUGGAGUGAUCAACGGAUCAUGGUAAUGAUAGGCAGUUGUACUCGAACAUUGUCAGUUUGAGGACGGGAAGAGAAAAGCCAUGUCUCCUUUCACGGUGGACCUUCUGGUUUCUUCGAAUGGUUAUUAUGAGUAGUAUGGAAACUUGAGGCAUCUCCGAAGUGCAGGACCUUAGCCGAUUCGGUUGGUAAAGAAAUGUUUCACUGUCUAGUAACGUGAAGAAGAAUCCUGUGAUCAAGCUGGUCUAGAGGAGUGAUCCAGGUACUUGUUUUCUACUAUAGUAGUCUAGUAUCCUUUCUGCUCUGUUAUGACAACUCCUCAUGACAACUCCUCACUCUCCCUCUACAAGUUUCUCUGAUGCUUCCACACGUGAGAGUGGACUCCCUCUACAAGUUUCUCUAAUGCUUCAGCUAGUCAGAGAGUGAGAGAGUGGAGGACAGUGUACACCAUUCGAACUCGUAAUUUAAGUUUCAUGAUGUAGGUAGAUUGUUGGUCUCUUGGUAUAAUAUAGUUGGUUGUAGGAUAUUAAGAGUAUCACACUGACUGAAAGUUAUUGAAUAACAAGCACUUUGAAGUCACAACACUUAGCAUCAGCAAGGUUGCUCACAAAAGUGAGUAUGGAGUAAGAUAAUUCUUACUUCUAACUCUUGUUACUUAUAGAUGGUGGUUGUCAACCAAUGAGGCAACUUCCAUCAACAUUACAUCUAUUUCUACUUCAUCCAAUUAAACCUUAGGUUCUUUCUUAACCUAGUCGCCACCUACAAACUCAAGCUGCCACCUACAAAUCUUACAAGCUACCAUAAUAACUUCUUUAGAAUUUUUUGUUGCCUUUUGAUUACUAGCAACUUACAUAAGGUAAUAUCUUUUACUAAGUGACUUAUUUCAAUAUUCCCACUUUGUUAUUAGUCAAAAGACUUCAAUCCUAAAGCCUUUGUCAACA
rnacentral:lncRNA from 1 species